rnacentral:rRNA from 1 species
ACGGAGGGGCACCACCAGGAGUGGAGCGUGCGGCUUAAUUUGACUCAACACGGGAAAACUUACCAGGUCCAGACAUUUGAAGGAUUGACAGAUUGAUAGCUCUUUCAUGAUUAAAUGGGUGGUGGUGCAUGGCCGUUCUUAGUUGGUGGAGUGAUUUGUCUGGUUAAUUCCGAUAACGAACGAGACCUUUACCAGCUAAAUAGUAAUUAUUAGGAUUUGUCCUAGUAAGAUAUACUUCUUAGAGGGACUAUUGGUUUUUAAACCAAAGGAAGUAAAGGCGAUAACAGGUCUGUGAUGCCCUUAGAUGUUCUGGGCUGCACGCGCGCUACAAUGAUCAACUCAUCAAGUUAUCUCAACUUGUUUGUGAUUUACUUUUCCUGAAGGAAUGGUUAAUCUUCAACGUUGAUCGUGCUUGGGAUAGAUAAUUGUAAUUAUUUGUGUUGAACAAGGAAUUCCUAGUAAUCGUAAUUCAUCAGAUUGCGAUGAUUACGUCCCUGCCCCUUGUACACACCGCCCGUCGCUGCUACCGAUUGAAUAAUCCGGUGAACUCGUCGGAUUGUGGUAAAUAUUUAGCUUUCGGGUUAAGUGAACUGCGAGAAGUUGAGUAAACCAAAAUUAGAGAACACAA